GAAAGCGCGCGAUGACUGGCCAUUUUUAUUCCUAGACCGUCAGGAAGCGCCCCGUUGUGUGCGCCCUCUUGUGGACCGGUCAAGCACUUCCUUGGCUCUGCUACAUUUUCUGAAAUAAAUUGCUCAUUGGGUCAAGAAGUCAGGGCAAUGGUGACCAAGUUGGAAAGCCCAGCUACACAUCUGUAGAGCAUUAUCAGUUGGAGUUCUUACGUAAAGAAGGUGGUGUGCCAGUCAAUUGAUUAAAACAGGAAAAGAAUGCUUGCUUGUUAAGGAAACUCUGAUUAUGAACUGCAUUCUCUCCUGUGCUUUUUAGCUUAGAAAUAUGAUUGUUUCCCCCAAAUAUCCAUGUUUUAAAUGUUCUCUACUUGCAUUUGGUAAGACACAUGUACAUAUACUACACACAGCAAUCCUAUGUUUAUGUUACUUGAAAAUCCUAUUGGAUAUAUUUGGACAUCUAUAUAGACUCAUAACUUUACCAUUGUUGUUACUGUAAUGUACACUGUCACAAGACUCUAGGAAGGGAGACUGUUCACAGUCUCUCACACCACCACAAUGAUGGUGGGCAUGAUAUUCUUGCUACUUAAUUUAAAGAUCUUUGUUCUGACUUCACUAGCAAUAAUAAUCUGUUAACCCAAUGUUGGAGUUAGCAGCUUUUUAAACUUAUCACAGAUUCAUUGCUCUAUUCAAGAGAAAGAAAAAAAUAUACUUUGAGAUGCCAUCAGAGUGGAACAAAUAAAAACUUGUUCUUAUGCUCUGUGCGCUGCAUGAUAUAAUAAAUUUUCCUUG